AAUGAACGCUGGCGGCGCGCCUAAUACAUGCAAGUCGAGCGAGAAGACGUAGCAAUACGCUUGUAAAGCGGCGAACGGGUGAGGAAUACAUGGGUAACCUACCCUCGAGUGGGGAAUAACUAGCCGAAAGGUUAGCUAAUACCGCGUACGCUUCUUGGACUUCGGUUCAGGGAGGAAAGCGAUACCGUGGGUAUCGCGCUCUUGGAUGGGCUCAUGUCCUAUCAGCUUGUUGGUGAGGUAACGGCUCACCAAGGCUUCGACGGGUAGCUGGUCUGAGAGGACGAUCAGCCACACUGGCACUGCGACACGGGCCAGACUCCUACGGGAGGCAGCAGUAAGGAAUAUUGCGCAAUGGGCGAAAGCCUGACGCAGCGACGCCGCGCGGGGGAUGAAGGUCUUCGGAUU
rnacentral:rRNA from 1 species